rnacentral:rRNA from 1 species
CGAAUGCUGACAUAAGUAACGAUAAAGCGGGUGAAAAGCCCGCUCGCCGGAAGACCAAGGGUUCCUGUCCAACGUUAAUCGGGGCAGGGUGAGUCGACCCCUAAGGCGAGGCCGAAAGGCGUAGUCGAUGGGAAACAGGUUAAUAUUCCUGUACUUGGUGUUACUGCGAAGGGGGGACGGAGAAGGCUAUGUUGGCCGGGCGACGGUUGUCCCGGUUUAAGCGUGUAGGCUGGUUUUCCAGGCAAAUCCGGAAAAUCAAGGCUGAGGCGUGAUGACGAGGCACUACGGUGCUGAAGCAACAAAUGCCCUGCUUCCAGGAAAAGCCUCUAAGCAUCAGGUAACAUCAAAUCGUACCCCAAACCGACACAGGUGGUCAGGUAGAGAAUACCAAGGCGCUUGAGAGAACUCGGGUGAAGGAACUAGGCAAAAUGGUGCCGUAACUUCGGGAGAAGGCACGCUGAUAUGUAGGUGAAGUCCCUCGCGGAUGGAGCUGAAAUCAGUCGAAGAUACCAGCUGGCUGCAACUGUUUAUUAAAAACACAGCACUGUGCAAACACGAAAGUGGACGUAUACGGUGUGACGCCUGCCCGGUGCCGGAAGGUUAAUUGAUGGGGUCAGCGCAAGCGAAGCUCUUGAUCGAAGCCCCGGUAAACGGCGGCCGUAACUAUAACGGUCCUAAGGUAGCGAAAUUCCUUGUCGGGUAAGUUCCGACCUGCACGAAUGGCGUAAUGAUGGCCAGGCUGUCUCCACCCGAGACUCAGUGAAAUUGAACUCGCUGUGAAGAUGCAGUGUACCCGCGGCAAGACGGAAAGACCCCGUGAACCUUUACUAUAGCUUGACACUGAACAUUGAGCCUUGAUGUGUAGGAUAGGUGGGAGGCUUUGAAGUGUGGACGCCAGUCUGCAUGGAGCCGACCUUGAAAUACCACCCUUUAAUGUUUGAUGUUCUAACGUUGACCCGUGAUCCGGGUUGCGGACAGUGUCUGGUGGGUAGUUUGACUGGGGCGGUCUCCUCCUAAAGAGUAACGGAGGAGCACGAAGGUUGGCUAAUCCUGGUCGGACAUCAGGAGGUUAGUGCAAUGGCAUAAGCCAGCUUGACUGCGAGCGUGACGGCGCGAGCAGGUGCGAAAGCAGGUCAUAGUGAUCCGGUGGUUCUGAAUGGAAGGGCCAUCGCUCAACGGAUAAAAGGUACUCCGGGGAUAACAGGCUGAUACCGCCCAAGAGUUCAUAUCGACGGCGGUGUUUGGCACCUCGAUGUCGGCUCAUCACAUCCUGGGGCUGAAGUAGGUCCCAAGGGUAUGGCUGUUCGCCAUUUAAAGUGGUACGCGAGCUGGGUUUAGAACGUCGUGAGACAGUUCGGUCCCUAUCUGCCGUGGGCGCUGGAGAACUGAGGGGGGCUGCUCCUAGUACGAGAGGACCGGAGUGGACGCAUCACUGGUGUUCGGGUUGUCAUGCCAAUGGCACUGCCCGGUAGCUAAAUGCGGAAGAGAUAAGUGCUGAAAGCAUCUAAGCACGAAACUUGCCCCGAGAUGAGUUCUCCCUGACUCCUUGAGAGUCCUGAAGGAACGUUGAAGACGACGACGUUGAUAGGCCGGGUGUGUAAGCGCAGCGAUGCGUUGAGCUAACCGGUACUAAUGAACCGUGAGGCUUAACCUU